rnacentral:rRNA from 1 species
GAUGAACGCUAGCGGCAGGCUUAAUACAUGCAAGUCGUGGGGCAGCAUGAGUGUAGCAAUACAUUUGAUGGCGACCGGCAAACGGGUGCGGAACACGUACACAACCUUCCUAUAAGUGGGGAAUAGCCCAGAGAAAUUUGGAUUAAUACCCCGUAACAUAACGAUGUGGCAUCACAUUGUUAUUAUAGCUUCGGCGCUUAUUGAUGGGUGUGCGGCUGAUUAGAUAGUUGGCGGGGUAACGGCCCACCAAGUCUACGAUCAGUAGCUGAUGUGAGAGCAUGAUCAGCCACACGGGCACUGAGACACGGGCCCGACUCCUACGGGAGGCAGCAGUAAGGAAUAUUGGUCAAUGGACGCAAGUCUGAACCAGCCAUGCCGCGUGAAGGAUUAAGGUCCUCUGGAUUGUAAACUUCUUUUAUCUGGGACGAAAAAAGGCUUUUCUAAGUCACUUGACGGUACCAGAUGAAUAAGCACCGGCUAACUCCGUGCCAGCCGCCGCCGUAACAC